rnacentral:rRNA from 1 species
GAUGAACGCUGGCGGCGUGCCUAAUACAUGCAAGUCGAGCGAACGGACGAGAAGCUUGCUUCUCUGAUGUUAGCGGCGGACGGGUGAGUAACACGUGGAUAACCUACCUAUAAGACUGGGAUAACUUCGGGAAACCGUAUCUAAUACCGGAUAAUAUUUUGAACCGCAUGGUUCAAAAGUGAAAGACGGUCUUGCUGUCACUUAUAGAUGGAGCCGCGCUGCAUUAGCUAGUUGGUAAGGUAACGGCUUACCAAGGCAACGAUGCAUAGCCGACCUGAGAGGGUGAUCGGCCACACUGGAACUGAGACACGGUCCAGACUCCUACGGGAGGCAGCAGUAGGGAAUAUUCCGCAAUGGGCGAAAGCCUGACGGAGCAACGCCGCGUGAGUGAUGAAGGUCUUCGGAUCGUAAAACUCUGUUAUUAGGGAAGAACAUAUGUGUAAGUAACUGUGCACAUCUUGACGGUACCUAAUCAGAAAGCCACGGCUAACUACGUG